UGAGGUGUAGAGGUUGAAGGCGGCGCGGUUGGAUCGGCGGACGUGGAGGGAUACGUACUCGGCGCCGAAGACCUGGUCCAUGGCGGCCUGCGCGGCGGACAUGAGCUUGGUGGCGAGCCCCAGCUUGCGGUGGGAGCGGAGGACGGCGAGGGAGGUGAUGUGGCCGUGGCAGGGCUCCGAGGGGUCCUCCUCCAUCUUGGCGAGCACGUAUCCGACGAUGCGGCCGCCAUAGUCCUCGGCAACGAAGAGGAGCUGCGGCCACGAGAGCAUGUGGUAGAGGUAGUACUUCAUCUGGUAGUUCUCCGGCAGGCACAUCAGGUUGCACGCCUGCAUCGCGAGCAGGUCGUCGAUGGUCGCCUGCCGGAUGCACACCAUCGUGGCCGCCGCCGAAUUCUCCCCAC
rnacentral:lncRNA from 1 species